UUCAAAUCGCAAAUAUUUAGAUUUAUUCUUUUUAUUUAUCCUACAUUUGUUUUUUUAAUACAUUUUUCCACAAGACAGUAUAUAACUUGUUUUAUUCUAUAAUAUUUGUAAGAAAAUACAGCUAAGAGGAAUGAAUUUUCCUUUAUAUUACACAGCAAUUGAGUUGCGGUUUUAAUGCACUGUUUCGAUAUCGAUAAACAAUCGAUGCGUGUCAUAGGUUAUUGCUCGGUCACCACUGCGGCGCGAUGUUGGCAGAGAACACGUGGCCUCGUAAAUGCAUGUCAGCGUGCAAGUGAGACGUUUACGGUACUGACCUAGCCUAGAGAGUUGGGUGAGAGCGCAUGAUAGCACUUUGAGAGCGAGGGCGUAGGUAUCGUAAUCAACCACGGUGAAGACCCAGAAGACGCUGGUUCGGCGUGGGAACACGCCGCGGGGAGUCACGAUACGGGAGGAUCCAUCGAUGAGGGAGGAAAAGGGAAGUGAAAAGGGAGAGAAGAAGACACGGCCGCCAAGAUUCCAAGUGAACUUCGUUUCUGCGGAUCUGCCACUCGUUCAACUCUAACCAAAGUUCAAACUGCCUGCCAACAUUUCAAAACAGAACGACCUUCCAUUUGCUCGAUUUACACUAGUGUUUCUCUCAUGACCAUCACAAAACACUUCUUCUCAUUUUCUGAACAAUUUUUGAAAACUUCCUGCAAGUGCGACAAGAGCUAAUUAAAUUAAUCAAUUAGAUCUUUUUAUACUAAAACGUAGAUUUUAUCGAAGUGUCAAAAUUGAUUCAAAUAUCGUGCAAACAAACUUAUUUUUUACGAAUCUGUGUGUGUUUUAGACUAAAUUUUAAAACUAUUUCCUCCUUAUUGAGAAGUUGAUUGAAUAACAUUUGAAUAACAGAUUGAGUAACAAAAGAGAGAAAAAAUAGAGAAUUCUAUUUAGAAAAUUUCUUCACUCAAUGAAAAUUUAAGAAGAAAGAAUCGUAUGUUUUACAAUUCCUUAUAUUUGUAAAACAAGUUUCUAAAAUAUUUUUAUAAUAAUUAUUCUAUAUGAAAUAGCAUUCGCAUUUUCAUAUAGAAUAAUUGUUAAGUAUUCUAAUAGAUUUUAAGGGAUAAUUUCUCAUGCACCAAUUCAAGACGAUCAUAUUCAUAUGACUAUAUGUCCAAAACGGCUUAGUUUCAAAAAUAUAGUGUUAAAGUUAAAGGAAAAAUUUCAUUACCAGACAAACUUCAUGGCUCGAGAAUUUACAUGGAAAAAUCUUCGAUUAUACAUCUUAAUAUCUUUUAAACUUCUUUUGUAACGUUUAAAUCUACCAUACUUAUACAAAAAGAUUUCAAAAAUCACUCGGAUUAUUUUAAUGUCCUUCAAACAUUGCACAAAGCUUUAUUAAAAUUUUACUUAAUUUCAAACUUUUUAAAAUGAAACCGUAUCGUACAAAUAAUCAUAUAAAAUUUUUGUCUUAAAUUAUGGGAAAUAAUCAUUCAAAAAUCCUUUAGAGUAUUUAACGAUCUGUAUAUAUUCACAUUCACACUUCUUUUAGAACUUGAAUCAAAUGCGUCGUCGAUAUCGAUAACCGCGUAGUCAACUGGUUUCGCUGCGGUAAUUAAUUUACUCGUUACUUCGACAAAUAAACUACCAAGAGAAAUAAGUAAUAUACUCUCUUUACAGGUAACAAAAUUGAAACGGGAAUAUGUGCCUAUUCGCAUAAUUAAAUUAGUGUUAAGAUAAGUGCGCUUAUUAAUGGCGUAUAUACAUUGGUCUAUAUGCUGCGAUCCUUAAUACCGAUCUGGAAAGACCUUUGACCAACUGAGAGCACACUCACUCAACUCGUCUGCUCGAAAGAUCUCCCCCGUAAAAUAACUUUUUCGAAGAGCAGGUACCGCUGAUCGCACCGUUAUGCCAAUGCGCUUUUCUCUUCGCGCCGGUACACGCCGUAUAAUAUAGUUAUCCAGAUAUACCGCUCGCGGAUGCAUACGUUCUCCCGUAAAACGCUGCCAUUACGGAGUAUCGUUGGCGCAGAACAACGGAGUCGAUCGGCAUCCAGGAAACAUUACGACGCCACCAACAAUAGAGUUAUUGAACCGAGGUUCGAGAAUUCAUACGGAAAAAUCUCCGAUAAAUUUUUAACUUUUUAAAACCAUUACUUCUUUUGCAACGCUUAAAUCUGUUUUAUACAAUUUAAAAUUGUUACAAAAAUACUUCGGAAAAGUGUAUGCCAAGAGUAAAUACUAGUGUUUAAGCUUAGUAAAAGUUGCCUACAUCGUUAACUUCGUGCUUUUCUUUUAAUCGAAAAAGCUUCUUUCUGGAAAAUGCUUAAAAAUAUUUUCUUAAAAACAUUUCUACAUCUACUAGGGAAGCAAGGUAAUGGUACAUUGCUGAGACACAAUGUUCAGCGAAAUGAUAAAUUAUCUCGGAACCAGUUACUGUCACACAAAUCCAGAUCAAUGAGUUGAGACGCAAGUAACAAAGAGGACGCGAGAUCCCUAUUCGAUAGUCACGGCAGAUCUAAUGAUCUAAUUUGUACCAAGAAAUCUAAUGUAUAUAUCAGCGAUCUAUCACACGAGUACAUAAAAUUACAGGAAACUGUUUGUAAUUUUGUUAUUAGAAACUCUAUAAUUUCCCCAAAAAUAAAAGAAGAAAUUAUGCGUUACAAGAAGCAAAUUAACCUCAAAGCAAUAUGUAAUUAAAUUACAAAAUGCAAUAUGUAAUUAAAUUACAAAUUACAAAUAUGAUUCUAUUAUUACCAUAAGUGAUAAGAUUUAUGAAAUAAAUAAACUUCUUAUAAAUAUGUAUGUUUUCUAAAUUAAAAUAAUCAUAGAAAAGAGAAAAAAGUUAUAACCACCAUUUUGUUUCAUUUAUAUAACUCAGUAAAUAUGAUAUUUAUAUGACAUAAUUCUUGUCAGUACAAAUUUGUUAUCCAUAAAGUUCUACCAAUUAUGUUAUAAGCAGAAAUUUUUCAGAUAUACAUAAAGAACAUAAUUAACCAUUUACUAAAGAAGGAAAAGAUGACAAUUAUGAAACUUGUAGGGAGAUAUGAAAUAUUAUCAACAAAUAUUUUCACAAUUAUUUUAUUUCUAAAAGAUAAAAAAAUAACGCUUUUUGGCAGAUUCUGUAUUACAGAAUUUGUAUUACAGAAAAGCAUUAACAAAAAUAUUUACUUCUUGUGACUUUGCGCAUUGUAAGUAUUAUAACAAACAAUAUAUAUAUUAGUUAAUAAGUAUAAUAAAAGUAUGAUCAUACUACAUUCGAUGGGAUUAUGAGAUUCAGACUCGCGAUGCUCGUAAGUAGUUCAUAACCCUAAAUGCAGGAAAUAUAACUUUACACGUCAAAUGCAUGUACGCAUUACGUCAAACAUUAAAUUCAAUUAUGUCAUUUAAAAAUCAUUUUCAAGUCCUUCAAGUUAUACUAAAGUUAAAAGAUUAACAUCUAACAUAUUUCUCAAAAUGACGUAAAUACACACUUAUAAAACUUUCGGCUACCUGUAAUACUGAAAGCACGUAACAUUUAUGACAACACAAUGAACAUUUAUGACCGGUCAUGUUAUAAUGUCUAAAUAGUAUGUAAAGAAGUAAUUUAGACAGUUAUCCCCAAAAUUCAACAUAAAAUAUACGAAAUAUCAUGAAUUUCAUAACCCUAUUUCUAGUUCAUAACCGUCUUCUCUCCUCUAAUAAUAAUAAAUAAAAAAUAAUAAUAAUAAAACAAACCUUUAUUAAAUAUUAAUUUGUAAUAUAAAUCUUUUAUUAAUAAAUAUUACGAAAACAGAUUUUGUAAAAAGAAUAUGUGUGAAUGUAUAUAUGUAUAUAUACAAUAUUGGAUGAGAAAAGACAAGCACUUAGACAGGAUAGAAAAAAGCAGCUUAAACUUAACUAUUUAAUACGCAUUAGAAUAUCAAGAUUUUUCUUAAGAGCUUUUAUAAUGUGUUGAUCCAUCACAUAAAUUAUUUUUCGUCUCAUUACUAGAUUGAGGCGUAAAAGAACUUACAAAUUUCUUUAGUUAUUACAGACGUUAGUUACUUUAGUUACUAUAGACGUGAUUAUAAACAUUGCAAAAACAUCAUAAAAACAAUAUUAAAAAGCUAAAUUAAUAUUUGUAUUUAAUCAGAUUUAUAAAAAUUAUUAAAUAGAGUAAUCUUGAUAUAAGAAAAUAUUAACAAGUUCCUUAGUUUUCAAUCAUAUCAAAAUACAGAACAAGUAAAAAAUAAAUUGUGACUAGAAAUUUGAAUCAAAUUUUUAAAUAUUAUGACAGAUCUAGAACCCUGUAUAUCAGUUUCUCGAGAUGUAAAAUCUUUUAUAUUUUAAGGAGUAACUCGAGCAUUCUGAUACUUAUUCAAGAUUUCAGUAAGUCGAUACGCGUACGAACGAAAAACGGAGACUGACGAGGACAGAGACUGAGACAACAAGACAAUGAUAAAAAGAACCAAACGGAGAUGCUAAGACUAGGAAAGGAGAGAAAAGAAAAAAAUUACUACAUAUGAUGCAUUUCGUAUACAGACUUUUCUAACACAAUAGCAUACUUAUGCUAGACAAAAUCCUUGCAAUUUAAACAAGACAGAUGAGUUGUUCAAGAAGUUCUUAAAUAAUAAACAAUAAAAAUUAUUUAUUAUUUAAUAUGAUAUUUAAUAAUAAAUAGGUUGUUAUUUAGUAA